UGCAAUGUGAUAGCUGAUUCCUGGUUAUCA
rnacentral:piRNA from 1 species